CUCGCGGUGUCAACUGGCAUGUCUUGUGGGACGUCCUGCCGGUGGUGGUCCGGUCCCUCGGGUAUGUGUAGGUCCGCCGAAGCAUCCCGUGGGUUCCGGCUGCCGAUUCAAUCCCGCCGCGGUGCUCUUGACUGAGUGUCGAGGUGGGCCGGCACGUUUACUUUGAACAAAUUAGAGUGCUUAAAGCAGGCUGAUUUCUGCCUGAAUACUGUGUGCAUGGAAUAAUGGAAUAGGACUUCGGUUCUAUUUUGUUGGUUUUAAGAAUCCGAAGUAAUGAUUAAUAGGGACAGGCGGGGGCAUUCGUAUUGCGACGUUAGAGGUGAAAUUCUUGGAUCGUCGCAAGACGUACCUAAGCGAAAGCAUUUGCCAAGUAUGUCCUCGUUAAUCAAGAACGAAAGUUAGAGGUUCGAAGGCGAUCAGAUACCGCCCUAGUUCUAACCAUAAACGAUGCCAGCCAGCGAUCCGCCGAAGUUCCUCCGAUGACUCGGCGGGCAGCUUCCGGGAAACCAAAGCUUUUGGGUUCCGGGGGAAGUAUGGUUGCAAAGCUGAAACUUAAAGGAAUUGACGGAAGGGCACCACCAGGAGUGGAGCCUGCGGCUUAAUUUGACCCAACACGGGAAACCUCACCAGGCCCGGACACCGGAAGGAUUGACAGAUUGAUAGCUCUUUCUUGAUUCGGUGGGUGGUGGUGCAUGGCCGUUCUUAGUUGGUGGAGCGAUUUGUCUGGUUAAUUCCGAUAACGAACGAGACUCUAGCCUGCUAACUAGGCGUUUCCGGUAUCCACAAUAGUGCUACCGGCGAAUAAAAUUCUUCUUAGAGGGACAGGCGGCUUCUAGCCGCACGAGACUGAGCAAUAACAGGUCUGUGAUGCCCUUAGAUGUCCUGGGCCGCACGCGCGCUACACUGAAGGAAUCAGCGUGUCUUCCCUGGCCGAAAGGUCCGGGUAACCCGUUGAACCUCCUUCGUGCUAGGGAUUGGGGCUUGCAAUUGUUCCCCAUGAACGAGGAAUUCCCAGUAAGCGCGAGUCAUAAGCUC
rnacentral:rRNA from 1 species